rnacentral:rRNA from 1 species
AUUGAACGCUGGCGGCAUGCCUUACACAUGCAAGUCGAACGGCAGCACGGGUGCUUGCACCUGGUGGCGAGUGGCGAACGGGUGAGUAAUACAUCGGAACGUACCUUAUCGUGGGGGAUAACGCAGCGAAAGCUGUGCUAAUACCGCAUACGCCCUGAGGGGGAAAGCGGGGGAUCGAAAGACCUCGCGCGAUUAGAGCGGCCGAUGCCUGAUUAGCUUGUUGGUGGGGUAAAAGCCCACCAAGGCGACGAUCAGUAGCUGGUCUGAGAGGACGAUCAGCCACACUGGGAUUUAGACACGGCCCAGACUCCUACGGGAGGCAGCAGUGGGGAAUGUUGGACAAUGGGGGCAACCCUGAUCCAGCAAUGCCGCGUGAGUGAAGAAGGCCUUCGGGUUGUAAAGCUCUUUUGUCAGGGAAGAAACACCGGCUCUAACACAGUCCGGGAAUGACGGUACCUGAAGAAUAAGCACCGGCUAACUACGUGCCAGCAGCCGCCGUAA